CCCUCCCUCCUCACCCCCACCCCGGCAGCCAGCACUCCAACCCAGAUGGUCGGGCCUGAGGCAGCUCUCUCCCUGUGCUUCCUCUCCCUGCCCUGACCCAGAAAUGCUGCCAAGCUCCAGGUGGGCCCCUGCCCCUCCUUCUCCAGGCCCGGGCCUGGGGCUGAGGCUCCGGGUCUCUGGGCUUCUUCCUCCCCUUCCAGUUGACGGGCCCAGACAGCUCCACACCCACUGGGUAACCAGAGGGGGUGGCAUAUGGUCCCAGUGUGAGGUCAGAAAGCCCCCUCCCUUCCCAGCAGGCCUGCCUGGUCAUCUGUGAACCACUUCAUGGCUGGCACUGGCCUGGGUUCCGGUCGGGAAGGGCCUUGCUCAAUCCUUGCAGAUCCCACAGAGGAGGACAGAUGAACAGGCUCAGUAGCCAGCUCCUAGGGAGCUCCCACGUAAGUGGGGUGCUGAACGAGUACAGGAUUGGGGAAGGGCAGGGGCCUCACCUGUCUUGUUACAGCCAAGUCUCCAUUGCACAGAAGCCCGGCGUCCCAUUACCGCUGGGUGGAUGAGGUGAAUAGAGGGAGCUGGGCUCAAAGCCCCUAUUCUUUCCUCAAGAAGGGCAGCUAUGGGAUCAGAGGCAAGUCACUUCACCUCUCUGGGCCAGGCUCUCCUCCAUGUGACAUGCAGACAGCGCGCUACAGAGUCUCCUUUCAGAUCGCAGCCCGGAACCAUCAGAGGCCAGGCCGUAAGUCCUGACGACCCUGGAGCUGGCACAGAAUAAAUGGAUGGACGAAUA